rnacentral:rRNA from 1 species
AUUGAACGCUGGCGGCAUGCUUUACACAUGCAAGUCGAACGGUAACAGGCCUUCGGGUGCUGACGGGUGGCGAACGGGUGAGUAAUGCAUCGGAACGUGCCCAGAGGUGGGGGAUAACGCAGCGAAAGCUGUGCUAAUACCGCAUGCGAUCUGAGGAUGAAAGCGGGGGACCAAGCAGCAAUGUUUGGCCUCGCGCCUCUGGAGCGGCCGAUGUCCGAUUAGGUAGUUGGUGGGGUAAAGGCCUACCAAGCCGACGAUCUGUAGCUGGUCUGAGAGGACGACCAGCCACACUGGGACUGAGACACGGCCCAGACUCCUACGGGAGGCAGCAGUGGGGAAUUUUGGACAAUGGGCGCAAGCCUGAUCCAGCAAUGCCGCGUGCGGGAAGAAGGCCUUCGGGUUGUAAACCGCUUUUGUACGGAACGAAAAGGCUCUGGCUAAUACCUGGGGCUGAUGACGGUACCGUAAGAAUAAGCACCGGCUAACUACGUG